rnacentral:lncRNA from 1 species
UUUUCUAAAUAUUAAUUGACAGGAACAGCUUCAAGCGUUUGAUGCUACUGGAUUCAUUUCUCUGCUAGCGUCAGAAUACUUUAAGAGAAAAAGAACCGAGUCUCCUCCAUCUGUUUCUUCCCUCAGCCCCUGGGGCAGCACGUGCUCUGAGUCAGUGCUUAAUAAAGGUGAAUUGAGAAAACAAAGGACUGAACUGAUGGUAAGGUGUACAAGGUGAUGAUUUGAUCCACAAUUUGAUACAUGGAUACAUUGCAAAACGAUGACCACAAGAUGAAGGCUAGCAGCCCGACUUUUAAGUGAACAUGCCCAAACAUGUACUCUCUGAAUGAGUACCGUCUCUACUAUGGCAUCCUCCUG